CAAAAGAAAAGUGGUUGUCUCGAGUCGGAUGCCAAAGUGUGCGAGCUCACAGCAGCACAGCGCCCACAAAACACAGCGUUACAGGAAAAAGAAGAUCCCAGAGCCCACCUGAAGAAGCCCCCUCUGCCCUGUCCAGUCCUGAUGGGCAGUUUGUCCAACUGCCUCAUGACUUUAACAAGUCUGCAGAUGUUGACAGUCCAGCAACCUCGGCCAAGCACUACUGUCACGAGGCCCCGGCUGUGAGCUUGGUGUGA